rnacentral:lncRNA from 1 species
ACUCCCUCCACCCUCAACAAAAACCCCCACCUUAAAUCUUCAUCUCCUUCACCCCCACACUAUCCCUCUUCAUCAUCUUCUCUAGCAAGCACAAUUGGUAGUGAUUAUGGAUCCGAAGUUAAGCCUAACUUUGUCAAUAACCACAUAGACCCGACAAUAGUAAAAUGCAAAUCUCUACCCUCAGCUAACAAUUUCCCAGUUCCGUCAGAGAGAAAAUGACCACGUGACUAAAAGUAACAACAAAAAGAAUUGGGGAUGACGCCUAACAACCUAUUCUCGACGUCAAUGACAAUGAGGAACUCGUGCAUGUUUAACCCGGUGUCUCCGUCCUCCUCGACAACCGCCUCACUAAAUUCCCUGGCACUCCCUACAUCUCCACCAAUUACAUAAUUAUAGCGUAUUUUUCCUUUCCCUUCAUAUGUGUUUAUGGGGUUAUUUUCUUAAUUGGAUUUUUAAUUAGUGUAUUUUCUAUUAAGGCAAGUUGUGUAAUUGAGUGAACGGACACGACGAAAGUUUAUGCAAUAAAUUUCUUAUCGAUGUCACUUCACACAGUGUCGAGAGACC